AACGAACGCUGGCGGCAGGCCUAACACAUGCAAGUCGAACGAACCUUUCGGGGUUAGUGGCGGACGGGUGAGUAACACGUGGGAACGUGCCCUUAGGUUCGGAAUAACUCAGGGAAAGUUGUGCUAAUACCGCAUGUGCUCUUCGGGGGUAAGAUUUAUCGCCUUUAGAUCGGCCCGCGUCUGAUUAGCUAGUUGGUUGAGGUAAUGGCUCACCAAGGCGACGUGCAGUAGCUGGGCUGAGAGGAUGAUCAGCCACCUUAGGACUGAGACACGGCCCAAACUCCUACGGGAGGCAGCAGUGGGGAAUCUUGCGCAAGGAGCGAAAGCCUGACGCAGCCAUGCCGGGUGAAUGAUGAAGGUCUUAGGAUUGUAAAAUUCUUUCACCGGGGACGAUAAUGACGGUACCCGGAGAAGAAGCCCCGGCUAACUUCGUG
rnacentral:rRNA from 1 species